rnacentral:rRNA from 1 species
GCGCAGCAGUCGCGAAACUUUACAAUGUGCGAAAGCACGAUAAGGGAACUCUGAGUGCCUCCUAAGGAGGCUGUUCAGGUGUCUAAAAGCACCUGAAGGAAGGGCUGGGUAAGACCGGUGCCAGCCGCCGCGGUAACACCGGCAGCCCAAGUGGUAGCCACGUUUAUUGGGUCUAAAGCGUCCGUAGCCGGCUGGGUAAGUUCCUUGGGAAAUUUGGCUGCUUAACAGUCAAGCUUUCAGGGAAUACUGCCCGGCUUGGGACCGGGAGAGGUCAGAGGUACUCCAGGGGUAGGGGUGAAAUCCAUUAAUCCUUGGGGGACCACCGGUAGCGAAGGCGUCUGACCAGACCGGGUCCGACGGUGAGGGACGAAGGCUAGGGGCGCGAACCGGAUUAGAUACCCCUGUAGU